GAUGAACGCUGGCGGCGUGCCUAACACAUGCAAGUCGAACGGAAUCCAGCCUUUAAGUCCUUCGGGUCAAAGAGGGGAAGACUGAGUGGCGGACGGGUUAGUAACACCUCGGCAACCUGGCUCAUAGAGGGGGAUAACAUAGAGAAAUUUCUGCUAAUACCGCAUAAGCACACACUGCCGCAUGGCAGAGGGUGAAAAGAGAAUCGCUAUGAGAUGGACCCGCGUCUGAUUAGCCAGUUGGGAGGGUAAGAGCCUACCAAAGCGACGAUCAGUAGCCGAUCUGAGAGGAUGAACGGCCACACUGGGACUGAGACACGGCCCAGACUCCUACGGGAGGCAGCAGUGGGGGAUAUUGCACAAUGGGGGGAAGCCUGAUGCAGCGAUGCCGCGUGAGUGAAGAAGUAUUUAGGUAUGUAAAGCUCUAUCAGCCGGGAAGAUAAUGACAGUACCUGAAGAAGAAGCCCCGGCUAACUACGUG
rnacentral:rRNA from 1 species